CUUUCCCAACCAGGAUGUUCCAGUUUCCAUUUUUCUACUUUUUCACAGGCUGUUUCCCAUGCCUGGAAUGCAUGAGAUCAAAUCCCUUGCUUGGUAAUAUUACUGAUGCUCAUACCUUGCCCAGCCCCAAAUUAGACACCAUCUGCCUCUUCAUGAAGAGGUACAGGAAAUCAGACAACGAUUCAAAAUGAUGUCCUGGAUCUUUACUCCCCUUUGGAAUUGACUCCUGACUCUCCUCAUUGCUGCCUCUUGGAAUUCCUCAUUUCUUUUGAAGAAUCAUCAAAAGUCUGGUGGCAAGACAAAAUUCAGGACAACUGGUGAUUGCCCGGGAAGCAGUGGAUGAUCUAAGUGUCUUCAAUGUUUUAUCAAACUCUAAGUGCUCCACAACACUUUCUUCAGUUUCCUUCAUUGCCAUUGGGACAAACUAUUUUUGUCUGUCCAUUCUGUGGAGAGAAGUUUUCAUAUGCUUGGAGUAGAUAUUGUUCUAGAUCACUAACAGGUUUGAGACCUGUUAGUUACCCUCAACCUAGUUGAGCCCAUCUGCCAAGAUUACUUACCAGGGUGUAGUGGCCUGCAGAUGCAAUAGCUUCUUUGGAUGUACAAUUCCAAAAAGUCUUAACAAACAUUUACUCCAGAGGGCUAGUCUUCCCUGAAUAUCCCAAAUGCCCCUAGGUAUGGUAUAUAGAUGGAUGAAAUCUAUUGCCUUGAAAUGGUUUGUCUCUGACACCUUCACAUAAAAUAUAUCCGGAUUCUUAGGAACAAUUUCUGAUCUCCAUCAGGACCAUGCAACAUGGAGUCAGCACAUUCCAGCCUACAGAGCUCAAUCCCAUUUGCCAUGCUUUAGGACAAGGCUUUGCCAAUGAAGAAAUUAAUCAAAUAUACAGAUAAAUUAAAAUUGUUAUUUCUAGUUGUACAUAAUUCAAUUCAAUACAUAUUUACUGAGUACUGUAUUGCCCUAAGUAGUUUUUCCACUUUAAUAAAUGAAGACAGUACAAAAAAGUUAAAUCUUCUGACAGAUCUCCCUAUCAAAAUAAGACCAGUAAUAGUAGUCCAAAGUUCCCUUCCCACCUGAGAGUUUAAAUACCAACUAGUUGCCAAGUUCCUGGGAUUCUUCCAUUCUCCUUGAUAUUCAGUCUUGCUUGACUCAGAUAAGAACUCUAAAAUCUCACCAAAUUUGACUGUUUUCCAGGCUCAAGUGAGGAAUCCAAUUCUACCCAAGUACUUAGUGAACUUGACCUGUUUAUGUCUUCCCUGAUUGCUUUUCUUUAUUGUAACUAUAUCCCAUCAAUAAAGUCAUCAUGCUGUAC